UGGGUGUGCUGGGAUCUGCAUAUCAACCUAAGUACGCUGGGUUUAGGGCACUGAAUCUAGCGACAUCAGUCGCUAACUGCGCAGCGUGUUUUCCUUGAAUGGGGAGCACAUCCAUCAGGGAGCCUGUAAUACAGUGAGUGGCUGCAUCGUUACCAAUCACUAUUUGAAAUAGGUCACCUCAUCCGUACCGUGCAUCUCUUGCUCUUUGUGUUUGGAAGACACAGCACAAUCUCUCUGGGAGCAUCUGAGAUCCUUCAGUUCUGCUGCUAUAACCCCAUGUCACCCAGGUCUUCGUGGACGUGUGACACCACAAUGAGGGGCACGUUCCAAAUUCAUGGACAGAUACUAAGAGAUGCUCUCCGUGAUCACUGAGACUCAAUGGCUCUUAUUUCAAUGGCAGUGUAAAGAGAUGAGUGUGUAUGGUUCUGCCACCAUUGUAACCUGUCUGAUCUCAGUGGGAAUGUAGGAGAUACUGCAUUAUGAUUCUACAGCGAAAACUGUAAUGGCUGUGAUGUUAUGGAUGGUAGAGGGCCGAGAGGGGGGGAGACUCCAGUACCAACCUCCUGGAGUAAUAACACUAUGGUGCGCUGUUCUGUUUGGGCCUAUUACCCCAAGAGCUACUCUCACAGGACUCAAAAAGACUGAGACUCAAUAGCGGGGUACGAAACAAUGAAUUUCAUUGAUCAUGACUCUGCUGCUCCGGAGAUUCCCCAGCACGGUUGGUGAGGAGACAGCGUCUCUUUGGUUAUUACAAAGCCCUGAACUGGAGUAUGGAGAGGCUCAGCCCUGGAUUGUUUUCCCCGAAUGGGGAGACUGAGCUAAGGUUUCCCCAAUGUAUGACCCCUGCACAUGUGAGUGAGCAGAUUUAGAAUUAACAAUUGGAAUGUACAGUACCAUGCACAUGAGUCAUUUGAAACUAAGCUUCCAUAAGAAUUGCCAGACCAGAUCAGACCAAGGUCCAGCCUGUCUCCGACGGUGACCAAUACCAGCUAUUUCAGAGGAAGACGCAAGAACCUCUGCAGCAGGCAGAGGGGGGAUAAUUUACCUCAGGGAAGUCUCCUCUUAUCCCCUAAUACGCCGAGACUGAUUUAAGUCCUGAAGCAUGAGGAGGGUUUAUACACUGUCAGACUUUUUUUUUUUAAAUAUUAA